GUCCACGCCGUAAACGAUGAGUGCUAGAUGCUGUGGGUAUUGACCCCCGCGGUGUCGCAGCCAACGCGUUAAGCACUCCGCCUGGGGAGUACGGCCGCAAGGCUAAAACUCAAAGGAAUUGACGGGGGCCCCGCACAAGCGGUGGAGCAUGUGGUUCAAUUCGACGCAACGCGCAGAACCUUACCUGGGUUAAAUCCACUAGAAGCUGCCAGAGAUGGCGGGGUGCCCUUCGGGGAACUAGUGAGACGGUGCUGCAUGGCUGUCGU
rnacentral:rRNA from 1 species